GGACUGGUAGCUCAGUGGAUGAGCAACUGUACCGGCAAUGAGAGGGUCCCUGGUUCGAAUCCCAGUCAAUCUA